UCUCCUCCAGACAAAAAAAUUUUUAGGUUAAACUCACGCUGAGGAGCCAACUGCUAUCAAUAUGAGUGAAGUUGAGCAAUUCGACCCGAGCUCAAAGUUCAGACUCACAAUUUGACAAACGAGCGGAGCUCUCCUGCUCAUUUCCCGCAACCCCAAAAUGGAAUCCCCCCUCCCGCUUUCCAUAUCCCGCCACUCCAAACAAAAAACUGGAUUCGAUGAACGCUGCCUGUAAGGUUUAGAGCUUCUCUUGUUGUGCUCGAGCUGCACAUUUAUCAUCCCGCCACCCUUACAGGUAAACGCCGUUAUUCUCUAUCACCUCAUCCUCUGCAACUCGCUCUCGUUUCCUCUCUCAAGUAUCGAGCUUGGAACCCCUCUCUGCUUCAUUCGCUCUCUCCUAACUGGGAAAUUGGCAAGAAGCAAAGGGGCUCUCCUCUCCGAUCAAAUCUCCGCCCCCAAUCUCCUCUGCUAGUUUUUUUUUUUGGGCGCAUAUUAGGGUUUCUGAUGUUUCUUUCUGAUCAAAACUUGGAAUCCUACCGAGAACUUUAGGUGAGAAGAAGAUUAUAAAACUGUGCCAAAUGCCGAGCGUGAAGCGGGGCGAGAUUGAAAUUGGUGGCGAGGAGGACGGCGAUGGGGCUGUAAGGAGCCGUCGCAAGAACCGGAAAGUGGAUAUCUUCUUUCAAGUUUGUAGCGGCGUUGUGGAAGAAUCAACAAACUGUAAAAAAGGGAGUUCUGGCGAUAAAAGAGACAUUUUUAUCGCCUCCGCGGAAUCUAAUUCCCUAGCAUUGAUCAGGGAAGAGGACUACCAUAGUGCUUGCAGAAACUUUCGUGUUAAGAAGUACUCUGCCUCGCGAAGGGCUCUCACUUGUUUUGUGGGAGUGGGAGAUCCUGCGAGUUUUUAUUCUGAGGCAGUCUGUAAGGAGGCCAAUUUUCGUAAGGAGAUAGCUGAAAGACGGAAAGAUUACUUUUUUCCAGAGGAUUUCGGUUUAGGGGAUGUGGUUUGGGCGAAAUCAGGGAAGAAGUAUCCUGCAUGGCCUGCUGUUGUCAUUAAUCCAAUGCAGCAAGCUCCAGCUAUGGUGCUCAAUUCCUGCAUUCCCGGAGCUCUUUGUGUGAUGUUUUUUGGGUUCUCUGGAAAUGGAAGAGAAAGGGACUAUGGCUGGGUGAAACAAGGGAUGCUAUUUCCAUUCAUAGAUUAUUUGGAUAAGUUUCAAGGGCAGACUCAGCUCUACAAGAGCAAACCCAGUGAUUUCCGUAUGGCUAUUGAGGAAGCCUUCUUAGCUGAGCAUGCUUUUGUAGGAACUGAAGUUGAUGGAAUGAGUAUGAUUGGGCAAGUGGCGUACAAUCAAUCUGUUCUUAGUGGGAUCCAAGAAGCUACUGGUUCAAACCAUGACUUGGAAUGUGAUUCAGAAAUACAGAGCAAGGACAAAUUGGGACCUCGAUGUAAAAGUUGUGGAUUGAUUCUUCAAUCCAAAAGCACAAAGAAGAUGAAGCUGAUGUCUGAACAAUUGGUCUGUCGGCACUGCGCUAAGUUGUUGAGGUCAAAACAAUAUUGUGGCAUAUGCAAGAAGAUUUGGCAUCACACGGAUGGUGGUAGUUGGGUUUGUUGCGACGGAUGCCAAAUUUGGGUUCAUGCGGAAUGUGACAAAAUAAGCAUGAAUCUUAAGGAUUUUGAAAACACCGACUACUAUUGUCCGGAAUGCAAGCCAAAAUUUAUUGUCCAAUCAACAAAUGCAAAGAAGUCCUCUCGUGUCAGUGAUAGAGACAAUUUGCAAGAGACAAAACCCGGCGAGAUAGAUGUAGUUUGCUGCGGUGUGAAUGGAACAUACUUCAUUGAGCAGCACAUGGUAUUAUGCCAUUGUCGUUCUUGCAAGCUUCAGAAGCUAACACCGAGUGAAUGGGAGCGGCAUAUUGGCUGCAGAAGCAAGAAGUGGAAGAGUAGCGUCAAAGUUAAAAGCACAAUGCUGGCACUCGGAAAAUGGUUGGAGCAGUAUGCGUCGCAAUUCCCAAAUCAUGCCAAUUACAUGUCUUCAAAGCCGAGAAAAGAGAAAUUGCUUGCUUGUUUGCAAGAAGAAUAUGAGCCAGUGUGUGCUAAAUGGACGACAGAGCGAUGCGCAAUAUGUAGAUGGGUUGAGGAUUGGGAUUACAAUAAGAUUAUUAUCUGUAAUAGAUGUCAAGUAGCUGUUCACCAAGAAUGCUAUGGAGCAAAGAGCAUUCGAGAUUUCACAUCUUGGGUGUGCAGAGCAUGCGAAAAACCACAAUUUAAACGAGAGUGUUGCCUUUGCCCGGUGAAAGGUGGUGCUUUGAAGCCGACUGAUAUCGAGGAACUUUGGGUUCAUGUUACGUGUGCAUGGUUUCAACCCGAAGUCUCUUUCUUGAGCGACGAAAAGAUGGAGCCUGCAGUCGGUAUAUUGAAUGUCCCAUUGCAGUCCUUGUCGAAGACGUGUUCAAUAUGUAAGCAGAUGCACGGUUCGUGCACACAAUGCUACCGAUGUUCCACUCACUAUCAUGCAAUGUGUGCGUCGAGAGCAGGAUAUCGCAUGGAGUUACAUUGCAUUGUGAAAAAUGACAAACAAAUUACAAAAAUGGUUUCAUAUUGCGCGCUACACAGUAUUCCGGAUGUUGAUAAUGUUUUAAUCAUACAGACUCCUCUGGGAGUCUUCUCUAGUAAAAGUUUACUCCAUAAAAAAGAGAAGGAAAAUGGUCACAAAUUGAUUCGCGAAGUUGCUAGUGAUGAUGUGGCGAUGACAACUCUUAUUUCUGAAACAUCUUCUGCCGCAAGGUGUCGAAUUUAUGACAAGAUGGAUUCUAAGAGCAAGCGGGAAGUGCCUGUCGUUCAUUGUCUUGCUGGACUUCGAGUUCAUUCUUUAGAUGAAAUUCAAAGUUUGAAUGCUCCUCUGGAGGAGCCAAAGUCUUUUUCGUCGUUCAGUGAGCGCCUGCACCACCUACGGCUAGCAGAAAACAGUAGGGUCUGUUUUGGUAGAUCUGUAAUACAUGGAUGGGGCAUGUUCGCAAGAAGGAAUAUUCAAGAAGGUGAAAUGGUCCUUGAAUAUCGUGGCGAGCAAGUGCGGGGUAGUGUUGCGAAUCUACGAGAGGCUCGGUACCGCUCAGAAGGGAAGGAUUGCUAUCUAUUCAAGAUUAGUGAAGAGGUUGUGAUCGAUGCAACGAAUAAAGGAAACAUAGCACGUUUAAUUAAUCACUCUUGCAUGCCGAAUUGCUAUGCAAGGAUUAUGAGCGUAGGCAACGAUCAAAGCCGGAUCGUACUCAUUGCUAAGACGAAUGUAUCGGCGGGCGAUGAGCUAACCUACGAUUACCUGUUCGAAACCGAUGAGGCCGAAGAAUGCAAGGUUCCAUGCCUCUGCAAUUCACCAAAUUGUUGUAAAUUUAUGAAUUAGGUGGGGUUGUAGAUGUAAAACAAUUCUUUCUCAAAGGGGAAGAUAAGUCUCCCCUCCAUUGAAACUAAAGUUAAAAAAAAAAUGACAGAAAACUUGUGGCUUAAG